GAUCCUACGGGGCGCAGCAGUGGGGAAUAUUGGUCAAUGGGCGCAAGCCCGAACCAGCCAAGUCGCGUGAGGGAUGACGGUCCUAUGGAUUGUAAACCUCUUUUGUCGGGGAACAAGGCCCGCCACGUGUGGCGGGAAGGAGAGUACCCGAAGAAAAAGCAUCGGCUAACUCCGUGCCAGCAGCCGCGGGAAUACGGAGGAUUCAAGCGUUAUCCGGAUUUAUUGGGUUUAAAGGGUGCGUAGGCGGGUCGAUAAGGUAGAGGUGAAAUACCGGGGCUCAACUCCGGAACUGCCCCUGAUACUGU
rnacentral:rRNA from 1 species